rnacentral:rRNA from 1 species
AGUGAACGCUGGCGGUAGGCCUAACACAUGCAAGUCGAACGGCAGCACAGUAAUAGCUUGCUCUUACGGGUGGCGAGUGGCGUACGGGUGAGGAAUACAUCGGAAUCUACUUUUUCGUGGGGGAUAACGUAGGGAAACUUACUCUAAUACCGCAUACGACCUACGGGUGAAAGCAGGGGAUCUUCGGACCUUGCGCGAUUGAAUGAGCCGCUGUCGGAUUAGCUAGUUGGCGGGGUAAAGGCCCACCAAGGCGACGAUCCGUAGCUGGUCUGAGAGGAUGAUCGGCCACACUGGAACUGAGACACGGUCCAGACGACUAAGGGAGGGAGCAGUGGGGAAUAUUGGACAAUAGGCGCAAGCCUGAUCCAGCCAUACCGAGUGGGUGAAGAAGGCCUUCGGGGUGUAAAGCCCUUUUGUUGGGAAAGAAAAGCAGCAGGUUAAUACCCCGCUGUUCUGACGGUACCCAAAGAAUAAGCACCGGCUAACUACGUG